rnacentral:rRNA from 1 species
CAUUUCUUGCUUUCAGCCUGUAUACCUCCGUCGUAAGCUCACUAUAUGAAUAUACAACAGUGAGCCAAAAGGCCAUCACCUUAACGUCAGGUCAAGGUGCAGCUUAUGAAACGGAAACAAUGGGCUACAAUCUCUAACCUAGAACAAACGAAUUACUACAUGAAACAUAGUCAUAAAGGAGGAUUUAGCAGUAAAUAAGGAAUAGAGAGCCUUAUUAAAUUCAGCUAUGGGGUGUGUACAAACC